rnacentral:rRNA from 1 species
GUGGGGAAUAUUGGACAAUGGGCGCAAGCCUGAUCCAGCCAUGCCGCGUGAGUGAUGAAGGCCCUAGGGUUGUAAAGCUCUUUCACCGGUGAAGAUAAUGACGGUAACCGGAGAAGAAGCCCCGGCUAACUUCGUGCCAGCAGCCGCGGUAAUACGAAGGGGGCUAGCGUUGUUCGGAAUUACUGGGCGUAAAGCGCACGUAGGCGGAUCGAUCAGUUAGGGGUGAAAUCCCGGGGCUCAACCCCGGAACUGCCUCUAAUACUGUCGAUCUGGAGUUCGAGAGAGGUGAGUGGAAUUCCGGGUGUAGAGGUGAAAUUCGUAGAUAUUCGGAGGAACACCAGUGGCGAAGGCGGCUCACUGGCUCGAUACUGACGCUGAGGUGCGAAAGCGUGGGGAGCAAACAGGAUUAGAAACCCGAGUAGUCC